UCAGGGCUACUUCUCGAGGCUCGUGACAAUAUUUUUCAGGCUUCCCGUAGUCUCCAUAUUUAUUGAAGGUUGCCGUCCUAUUCCUCGCUGAUGUCUCCUCCUAGUUUUGUUUCCGUCAGUCGGGUCUGUAGAGUAUAGGUUCUCCAGGUUCAUUGCAAACGUAUGUUAGCGAUUGAUUGUUUAUCUACUUCGUAUGUUCAGGUAUAUAUGGUCACGCGGUUGGAUGACAAGGUGGUUUUGUCCUGGCUCGGAACCGUUCAGUCGGGUCCUCUACUUUCUCGUCUUCUCCAUGCGCUUUCUCCCCAAAACGCUUGGUGGCAUUAGUGCCCCCCCCCCCCCUUCUGAAAGCAUUGACUCGAUGCCACACCGGCACAAGAGCUACUGUCUGAAGUACGGCUUGAGCCAUACGACAUGCACGAUUUCGGGCCGAAGCUGUCGACUCGAAGACAUGACGCCGUCCGGAAAUACCUCGUAAGUAACGUCGCUGACACGUUUCAGAACCUUGUACGGUCCGAAAUAGUGGCUUAAAGGUUUUUCGGACAAGCGUGGACGUCGAAUAGGGGUCCACACCCAGACUCGGUCGCCAGGGCGAUAGGCUACGUCUCGACGGCGGAGGUUGCAACGUCGUGCAUCGGCACCUUGUUGGUAACUGAUGUUUACGCGAGCCAGUUGGCGGGCUUCUUCGACGUACUGAGUGUAAUGCUCGGCGUCUGGAACAAUUUCAUUGGUUUUGUCGCACAGAAGCAUAGCGUCGAGCAUGUUUUGCACGUUGCGUCCGUAAACAAGACGGACAGGCGAAAAUCGCGUUGUUUCCUGUAUUGCCGUAUUGUAGGCAAACGAUGUACGGAAGAAUCUCGUCCCAAGUUUUAUGCUGCACGUCUACGUACAUUGACGGCAUGUCUGCUAUGGUUUUAACCUAUCCGUCAGUCCAUUCAUUUGUGGAUGGUAGGCUGUUGUUUUUCGAUGACUCGUGCAGCUGUCUGAAAAUGUCCAUUUGUGCUGUAAAUCACGUCCCCCUGUCCGUGAUCACACACAACGGGGCGCCAUGCCGCAGGAUGAUGUGGUGUACGACUUCGGAAGCCGUGCCGCGGGACAGUGCUUUUGUCUGGGCAUAACGAGUGAGGUAAUCCAUUGCAACGAUAAUCCAUUUGUUUCCGGUGAAUGACAAAGGGGAGGGUCCUAGAAGGUCCAUUCUCACGAGGUCGAACGGUGUCCUAGGUGGUGAAAUUGGUUGGAGUAGGCCCGCAGGUUUCACAGGUGGUGUCUUGUGGCGCUGACACUCGCGGCAACCUUUCACAUAGCGGUGCACGCUAGACGAAAGUCAUGGCCGGUAGUACUGCUGGCGCACUCAAGUGAAAUUGGCGAAUAGCCCAAAUGUCCUGACGUGGGUUCGUCGUGACAUGCAAAGAGCAUGUCGUCACGCAUGUCAGUAGGUACAACGAGGGGAAAGGCUUUAUCACUGCCACGGGCAUUUUUCUUGUACAGGAUGCCCCUUCUGAGAGCAAAAGGUGGAUAACUCGCGAGAAAUAUGCCGAGGAAGUUGAGAUUUUCGGCCUUCCAGGUCCCGAGGAAACCAUCGUCAUCCUCCGAGCAGGGUGUCCCACAGGUGCGCGGGAAAGCGCAUCGGCGUCUUAGUGUUUGCGCCCGGACCUGUACACAAUCGUGAUGUCAAAGUCCUGCAAGCGCAAACUCCACCGCGCAAAACGGCCACACGGAUAUGAUUUGCCAGCCAGCACAGAGAGUGGUGAUCAGUCACCACUUUGAAGGGACGGCCUUAGAGGUAAGGCCGGAAUUUCGUCGUCGCCCACACGACUUCGAGGCAUUCUUUCUAUGAAGUAGAGUAGUUGGCCUCGGCUAGAGUGUACGACUGGCGUAAGCUAUGACGUGCUCAACACGGCCGUGUUGUACAAGGACAGCUCCAAGUCCGACGUUGCUAGCAUCUGUGGGGACUUCUGUAUCUGCCUCCUCUUCGAAAUGGGCAAGUACAGCUGCUGUCUGCGUGCGCUCUCGUAGCUCUGCGAAUACUCUCUUGCUCUGUGGUCCAGGCAAGAAGUACAUCAUCUUGGGCGAGUCGCGUGAGCGGUUCGGCUAUCUUGGCGAAGUUGGCAAUAAAUCGACGAUAGUAAGCGCACAAGCCAAGGAAGCGUCGCACUGCUCUUUUGUCUGAUGUAACAGGAAAAAGCGGCGACGGCUGCAGUUUUGUCCCAAUCGGGAGGAACUCCAUCUGCACUCACGACAUGCCCAAGGAAUUUCAGCUCUUCAUAGCCGAAAUUACAUUUGUGAGGUUUCAGCGCGAGUUCAACUCAGCGAGUGACUUCCAGUACCAUUCGUAGGCGUUUCAGAUGUUCUUCGAAGGUGUCAGAGAAUAUGACAUCACCGAGGUAUACAAGACAGCCUUGCCACUUCAAGCCAGCGAGAACGCUAUCCAUCAUCCUCUGGAAAGUGGCCGGAGAAGAACAGAGGCCGAAAGGAACUCGGAAUUCAUAAAGGCCGUCUGAGGUUACAAACGCCGUCAUUUAUCGGUCUCGCUCAUCAACCUCAAUCUGCCAAUAGUCACUUUUAAAAUCGAUGGAUGAAAAGUACUCCACGUGCCGCAACCUGUCCAGAGUCAUCGACCCGAAGGAGCGGGUAAGCAUCUUUAUUUGUGAUGCUGUUUAGCUUCCUGUAACCAACGCAGAAGCGUGGUGUUCCAUUUCACUAGAACUCGCGAUGACCACGGGCUGCUGGAUGGUUGAAUGACUCCAUCGUCGAGCAUCUCCUUGCGUCUGAAUCGCCUCGCGUUCUUUAACAGACAUGAUUAGGGAUGUUGCCGGAUAGGGCGAUCAACAUCCUCGGUAAUUCGGUGCUUGGUGAGGGGUGUUUGGCGGACUUUAAACGAAUAGGCGAAGCAAGACAAAUUCCUUUGGAAGGUCGUGAAGUGUAGCCUUCCUCUCGUCCGAAAGCUUCGAAUUGACAUCGAUGCGAUCAAGAAAUUUGUCAUCAGCAUUAAUUUCCUCAGAUGCGUAGCACUCUGCAACGUCGGCGACAGGAUCUGCAUAGGCCGACGCUAGUGCCGCGGAAAAGAUGUCGGUGCUCGUAGUUGAAAUGUGUGAGGAGUAUUUGCGACCGCCUGUCACGAACACGAACCAGGCUUCGGGCAGCGCAUACAUGUACCUUGAAGCAGCAAGAGACGUUGCUUUCGGCGACCGCGUCCCCGUCUCGGAGGUUCUCGCACGUGACUUCUACUGGAACAGUGGCACGUGGCGGCAAUAUCACGCUGUCGUCAGCAACACGCAGCGCAGGUUUGACAGCUCUCGGCGUCUUGCUCUGUGGCACGUAUACUGUCGAGAAGGUCAUGCUACGCUCACGAAGAUUUAUAAUUGUGCCGUACUUGUGCCGUACUGAAUUGACGUGAACAGUCUUAGAGGACGAGGCAGGUGGCUACAAAUGUCGACGCACGAAUUUUAACUCUUGCAGUACAGCGGCCCAGAGUAAUAACGACGUGACCUCCAGUUGUGCGAAUGCGCGUUCCAUUCCAAGGUGUCAUAACUUUCGUAAGAAUCGUUGUCAAUUUCCCGCUAAUUGAAUAAUCUGCGCAUGUGUCCACCAAUGCGCUGACCUGUAGACAGUCUAUCGGCACAGGUAUGUCAAGCGAGACUCGGUCACCAAGUUCAGAUGGGGGGAACCGGCGAUUCUUUGCCACUGCACUCGUACGGGGGUGCGACCGAUGUGUUAUCUUCCUUAAGCGUAGAACUUGCCGCUGUCAGUGAAUCUGCGACAUUCCGUACAAGCGUCAAUGGGAGGUCUUCCGCACUUCGAGUCCCAGCGACCUCGCCCCCGAAGGCUGCUGCCUUCAGUUUUCCCGACGGGGGCUUGGAGAGCGAUUGACGUGUGAAAGGUACCCGUUGCUGGGCCAAAUGCUCUUCAAUUUCCCUGGGCCUCUGGCCAACCUGAGGACCGGCCUCACCGCAAUGGUAGCAGAGGGGUCGUCUGUCCGACGUACGCCAGAGAUCAGACUUUCGCGGGGGUGAACGGCGACCGUCGACGUCAAAGCCAGCGUGCGCUGCUUGAAUUGCGCCUGGCGGUGUCGUCCGAGACUGCGGGGCGAGAAACAGGUAUGGAGUUUCGCAGGCAUUCCGCAUACGAACGGGGUUGAAUAUCUGCGAACAUGGGGGCUGGUCCGGCAUCAGUGGGCACCACGUUGGUCAUCAGUGGGUAUCGGUGGCUGUGCAGUGCUUGCUGAACCUAAUCGCGGAUUACACUGGCAAUUAGAGCUUCAUUCUUAGCUCUAAUCGCCAGUGUAAUUCUCAGCCUCCGUAGAGCUUCAUUUCUUCGUGGAUGAGAAAGCGAACAAUUUCGCGAACCCAUUCGGUGCUACUGCUUCCAAAGGUGGCGAACAAUUGCCAGUCGAAGAGGGCACACCGCCGAUGAACUUUCUCCAUCACCGCAGCUUCAGUCAGAAACUCGGCCACACUUUUUGGAGGGCUUCGCAACAGACCAGCAAAAAGUUGCUCCUUCACGCCACGCAUCAGGUGGUGUAACUUUUUGUCAUCUGGCAUAGCAGGAUCCGCUCGUCUGAAAAGUCGUCGUAUCCUCGACGUACAUGGUGACGGUUUCAUUCGGCAUCUGAACGUGGGAUUGUAAUUCACGCUCAGCGUGUUCGCGGUGGUCGGUAUUCCUGUAGCACUCCACAGGGUGAUGUCGGAAUUCACGCCAGGAUGUUAACGUCUUCUCUAUUUUGGAACCACGUGCGGGCGGCGUCCUUUAAGCUGAAGUACACGCGCCGGAGUUUUGUGGCAUUAUCCCAGCAGUUGACCGCAGCUACACGUUCAAACUCCCUAGCCAGUCAUCCACGUCCUCAUAUAAAUCUCCGUGAAAGGCAGGGGCGACAGCGGGUUCUGAAGGGUACAGUAGGUCAGAGUAGGAAGCGUCGGAACUUCUGCGGUGAUUUGAGACGUCAUAGCAGGCUGUCCUAGUGUCUCUGGUGGCAAGCCUCGUUGUCGACGGCUUGCUUCACGAACUGGGGUGUUCACAGGCGUAAAACUCGGGUUCCCGCUGCCGGACGGGGUCUUGUGCAUGGGAUGCGUCGUCGUCGUCGUAACCAGCAAUCUCCACCAGUUUUGGUGACGUCAUUUCCCACGUCUGCUGUCGUUUCAACAGAGAUGCUUCGAAAAUUUAUUAGUGUUAGUACAUUUGUAUUCAAAUUUCUUACUGUCUGAAGGUUCAGAAUGCCGUUGUCAUCCGCAAUCUUUAUUCCCAUUCUGUUCGUAUAUAAUUUACCUUUAGUUGGGUCGACGAAGUCGUCCUUUCGAUAUUACGUCUAUUUCAAUGGCCUUGAUUAGUUACUAAUUCACCAUCUGGAUUUUGUUUUGAUGAAGAUUCUACUUCAGACCUCUCGCUUUCUCUUCGUCCGAAUGCUCCCAGCGCGAGUGUCUGUGCGGUGGAAUUCACAACUUUGUUUUUGUGCCACACAGGCCCAUGCAUGUUUGUUGGCUUCCACGUGAAAUUCUUGCAUCCUCUCCUUUAUUUUAACAUUCUGCCCAUGCUAUGGCCGUGUAUAGAACUGAACGGUCUUCCUGUGGUUUAGGACGUGCUAGUUGCCAUCAGGCACAUCGCAUUUUCCUUUUGCGUCGUUUGAUUUGCUCUCGUUGAUUUUCGUUUUGCACAUUUCAUGCUGAUUCGCAACGCUUGCAAACGACUGUUGCCCUGCAAGAUUCUGCCCUAUAUUUUGGGCAGACGUACCAGGAGCUUUUGUUUUCGUAUGGAAGCUUCUGCCUCAUGUCAUGUUACUGAUCGGCGGCACUCUUCAGUGAAGUUGUUUUGAUUCGAAUAGCGACAUAAUUUUGGGACUGAGCAUUGAAGUCUUGCGCGUAAACUUUGGUCUAUUAACCCAUUUUCUUUUAGCUCUUUCUUCACUGUCUUAGGAAUAAUGGAGUUAUUCGAUGCACCUUACAAGUUCCUGAAAAAAUCUGUGUUUAGUGACUCUGCACUCGACAUCUUUGUUUCUUCCUCGUAAAGAAUCCUCACUUCUGCCCGGAGUAGCUUGGACUCUGUCCUUGUAAAACUCGUCGUCCAUGAAUAGCUCUGGUCGCGUCCUACGCUUUAAAAUUGGCAUCAGCAUUGGAGCGUACGAAUCUAUUCACUCCGAGCGCUUCCACUGCAAUCAUGUGCAACCUUUGAAGCCAUCAGGAUUUUUUACUGGUUUUAACUUGAUCAACGCAUUCAUGGGAGUUUCCUUUAAUUACCGUAUUCUUCUUUCAAAAGCUACACAGCUGUCUAGUAAUUCUCGGAGUACUGUAGCCCUUCAAUCAGUGCAGCUGCCUUCCCAUAAAAGACAAAGUAGUGGAACGUCUGGUAAAUUCUGUUGAUGAACUGCGCUUUGAAACUGUCUACAAAGUCUUUGCCACGUCAACUUCUUGCCGUCAAACAUAAACAUCUCUAGCUUCGGCAGCUUCGCGUAAUUUCUAUGAUCCGGAGACCGAUUAACUGACGCUGACUGUUCACUUUCUAUUGCUGCAUUAUCGCGAUCAUUCGUCGUUAGUCGAUUUAUUGAUACUGGGCUAUCCUUUACAUUAUUGUAAUUACCUUCAUGUCAUAUUCUACUACUUUUUAAAUUCGUCGGGCGCUGUUUCCUCGAUGACAGGCGUCUUCAUCUGUGCAUUUGCGGCUCGGCAACUGUUAUGCCCUUGAUUUCACGAAGGCUCGUGGUUGCAAAAUCUACGUCUUCUCCGUCGCUCAUUUUUCUUUCUGCCUCUCAUGAGGUUCAUUAUCUCCAUCCUCAGUUUUCCCUCUUUUGCGAGACCUUUCUAUUCAUGUUCACAAUGCAGGCUUACAUUAACGAAGUAGCGACGGCUUCUACUUUCUCUUUUGCGGUUGCUCUCAGCUCCACGGCGUCCGUUCCCGAUUGGCAAUCGCAUGUAAGCUGCCUCGUUUUUCUUCACCGUUGUCCUUCUUGGUGGCGAGGGUCGAUUCCAGGUUCUGAGCUCAUGUUCCAUUGCGGUCCACAAGGAUACCCAGCCCGUUCCUGCACAUUGACUCACCGGUCUACGCUCCAGAGGAGAUUACUUCGAGCCCCACCCGCUUCAGGAGCAACUGUUAUCACUUCUACAUUCUCUCGCCGAUGGCGUCCUGCUGGCAGACUCGACUUUCCUCCUCACCCUGCACUACUACUGGUUCUGAGCUCCUGUUUUCGAUUGCGGCUCUCAAGGACGCCCAGCCGCUCCGGCACAUUCACUCUCCGGUCUACGCUCCAGAGAUUAGAGGACGAGCACCACCCGUUCCAGGAGCGAUUAUCACUUCUACAUUCGCCGAUGGCGUCCUGCUGGCAGACAGAACUUCGCCUGGCACCCUUACACUUCAUGCUGGAUGCCAGUGUCAUCGCUUGAGACUCAAAGGAAAUGUUCCAGCACGCUCAUUUACGACAAUAACACUCCUGGCCUUACCUCAAGAAUGACAAUCUUCAGCCCGAUCGUCCUGCUGCAGACUCUAAACAGUCAAAUUGCUCUGACCUUCGAAACCGUCGUACGCUUCCGUCUUGGCUGUGUCCUGCACUGUGUUGGCGGCGUGUUAAUGCUCUGAAGGACUGCUUGUCGUCGCCGUCCCGCCACCAUCCAUCGGAUGUACUUCAACAGUUCUUCUCUGUUGCCUUUUGUUUUUUUAUGCAGGCAUAUUUCAUGUUUCGUACAGCAAGCUUUUCUUGUAUGAAAGAGUGGUAUGUUGCUCAGCAAAUGGAUGGUGCUUCUAACAGUUAGGAUAAUACGAAGCAGAACAGCAAAAAGGUCUGGUUACGUGGACACCACCCAGUUUUCCAUAAGGAUUGUCUUCAUGAGCUGAUCUGUAAAAUUUUUGGUGGCGAGAGUAAUGGACAUUCAUUCACAUUGUGCACUAUCGUAGCAGUACGUUGAUAUUGGUGUGUGUGUGUGUGUGUGUGUGUGUGUGUGUGUGUGUGUGUGUGUGUGUGUGUGUGUGCGUGUUACCCGGUUGCAUGCGUAUUGGUUUGUUCAUUUCGUAUGUGCACACCUGUUCUGUGCUCCUUUUGUUCGGUCGAGAACGGAUCUAUGACAAAGCUUCACUGCUAUUCGGCGCACUUCGAAUUCAUUAUUUCGGUAGCAUUUCCAAGGUCACCGUUGUAUACACAACCCGUUGAUGGUUCAUUUCUCCGAUUCAUACCGGUUGAAAGCUGCCUGGUUUGAUGGCUUACUAUCGUCCAUGGGCAUCCGCUUUUGGAAUGAUUUAACAACUCGUUUCUUAGGUUUUGGUUCUUGGGUUAAUCUCAGUGCUCGUUUCAGCAUUCAGCGAAUUUGUUUAGGCAUCUUUCUCCUAUCGGAAACGAGGGCUUCAUACACAUUCUCGGUUCUUCCACUUCAUUCAUCACCGACUCAACAGAUCAACAUGCCACUACAAAAGCACACAAUGUCAAUGAAUGGGAAAGAAAGGGUAGUUACUCUCGCCAGCAACACUUUCAUGAUUAGCUCAUGAUGGUUAUGACGUCUAUUUUAAAACUGGUUGGUGAUAAAUGUCACCAUGCUAGCUGUUUCUAGUUAUGACGUGCCUGAAUCAUUAAAUGCUAUGAAAGUGUGGUGUGCUCACGCCGUGCGUUGUCUGUGUCACUUAUCGGUCUCAGCGGUUCGUAAGCUGUGAACCGUGGAACCUCGCAGAGAUUUGUUGCCAUCGUAGACACAGGAGUCGGAGCAGCGUACUGCUCUUCGACGAGGUAGAGUAGCAUGUAUCUGUACAUGGUCUAACAUUUGUAUUGCCUGGCCUUUGUUUAUCGGACAGUGCUACCCACUGUCGCCACUUGUUCACCGCGUAUACUGUGCCGCAUUGGCGCCGUGGUUUGAUUGGGAUUUGUGUGCAUAGUUAUCAUGUAUACUGCGCAGGGUCAGUAGGAACAAUGAACCACCAUUUUGCCCUUCACAUGGCUCUGACGUCGUUGUCUGCUGACUCUAGAGAUUACGCACAGUUUUGUCAUUUUGUGCUUUAAGUCUACUACUUGAGCCAUUGUAAAACGGCUGCUUUAAAAGAGCUACAUUUGUUCCCCCUUAUGCCACACCAUAUGUAAACACGCAUAGACAAGUGCACGAGUGCACGCGAAGAAAUCAUCGAAAGAAAAUGUCCGAUUUAGUUUUUUUUUUUUUUUUUUUUUUUUUUUUUUUUUUUUUUUUUUUUUUAAA